rnacentral:misc_RNA from 1 species
UUUCCGUAGGUGAACCUGCGGAAGGAUCAUUACUGAGUGGGGGCCCUCUGGGUCCAACCUCCCACCCGUGUUUAUUAUACCUUGUUGCUUCGGUGAGCCCGCCUCACGGCCGCCGGGGGGCAUCUGGCCCCUGGCCCGCGCCCACCGAAGACACCUAGAACCCUGUAUGAAGAUUGCAGUCUGAUCAGAAACUAAAUAAGUUAAAACUUUCAACAACGGAUCUCUUGGUUCCG